rnacentral:tRNA from 1 species
GCGCCCGUAGCUCAGCUGGAUAGAGCAACGGACUUCUAAUCCGUGGGUCGUGGGUUCGAAUCCUCCCGGGCGCACCA